UGGAAGUAAACAAACGCGAUCACGUGAUCAGAGCGCGCUGAGAACAACCACCAGAACCCAGACGAUCUCAACGAGUUCACAAAAUUAUCAUAUAUUCGUCAUUUAAAGAUAUUUUGGAGGGUAUGUGAAUUGGGAUGCCUUGUGGACUGAGUUCUCUCUGGCAGGCUAAAGUAAUCACACUUUUUAUCAACAAAACAUCCAUUCUUACAUGAAACUCAAGGACUGUGUUCGGAAAGGAUUACUAGCAUAGGUUUUGCACUGCAGCCGCUGACAGAAAAAUCAGGCUGUGGACAUCUGAUCUUCAAAACAAUUAUGAUGCAAAGAGUGUGGGACCUUGAUGGUAAUGAAAGCAUUUCAUUCCGACUGUGUUCCCAUGGUGUAAGUGUCUGUUGGCACCCUGAGGACAACUGUAAGCGGGCAGGUGCCGCUCAUGUCAGCUGACUGGUGGCUAACAAACACUAUUAAAACUGGAGCUGUGGUGGCCAACGAUUGGAUGACCUGGGACAUUACCAGCCCCAGUUAUCCACUCGAGAAGAGACCAUGUUGACAAGGCAAGA